GAACUUGGGUUAAUGUGGGGCA
rnacentral:siRNA from 1 species